AGAGUUUGAUCAUGGCUCAGGAUGAACGCUAGCUACAGGCUUAACACAUGCAAGUCGAGGGGAAACGACAUCGAAAGCUUGCUUUUGAUGGACGUCGGCCGGCGCACGGGUGAGUAACGCGUAUCCAACCUGCCCACCACUUGGGGAUAACCUUGCGAAAGUAAGACUAAUACCCAAUGAUAUCUCUAGAAGACAUCUGAAAGAGAUUAAAGAUUUAUCGGUGAUGGAUGGGGAUGCGUCUGAUUAGCUUGUUGGCGGGGUAACGGCCCACCAAGGCAACGAUCAGUAGGGGUUCUGAGGGGAAGGUCCCCCACAUUGGAACUGAGACACGGUCCAAACUCCUACGAGAGGCAGCA
rnacentral:rRNA from 1 species